UUUAUUACACCAAGAAGCGCUCUCCCUUUUUUCCCCUUUAGAUUAAGGGUCUAAAGUCCUGGAUCCCCCUGUCUGAUCUAUAGUGCUGAUCAUCCACAACGCUGAUCAUCAGCUCCUCCGCUGUUCUGCACAGCCAAACAAUGACCUGUGAAUUGCAUCUGAACCGCAAACCUUCCGUCAUCCAUUCUGGGCUGAAACCCUUGAGAGAAGGUCAGGAGCGGCCGGUGCUGAGUGUGUAUUAUGUCUUAUCUCUGCUGAAACAGGUUCAUACUGCGAGAUAAUGACACGAAUAAAACGACACAAGGUUAACAGGAGAAGGAGCUUCAAAAACAGACAACGACGUCAUAGACGAUGACCCCACAGCACAAAAUCCACGCAGAUGCUGAUCUGGGAAACGCAGUUCACCGGCAACGAUAAACUGAGGGAAAUGAGGAGAAUUCGGUGACCAUCUUGCCUGAGCUGUUUUUACAGCAUUUAGUGAUAUGCUUUACCGAAGGACCCAUGGACAUAGACACAAUCUCUACACCUUAUGCUUUGUACUGAGAAGGAUUGUAAGCAAGCUCUGUGACCUGUGCAGGGAGUCGUCCUAGGUUUCGCCUACCAACAUCCAGCAACUGGAAAACGGAUCUGUUCUUUCUCUUAAGAGAGCAGUAAUUGUUAAAUGUCAGGAAAUUACCAAGUCAUGGGGCAAUGUCUUCUAAUGGAGCAUGUAACCAAUUUAACUCAACCUGCCUG